rnacentral:rRNA from 1 species
CCUACGGGUGGCAGCAGUGGGGAAUAUUGCACAAUGGGCGCAAGCCUGAUGCAGCCAUGCCGCGUGUGUGAAGAAGGCCUUCGGGUUGUAAAGCACUUUCAGCGGGGAGGAAGGCGGUGAGGUUAAUAACCUCAUCGAUUGACGUUACCCGCAGAAGAAGCACCGGCUAACUCCGUGCCAGCAGCCGCGGUAAUACGGAGGGUGCAAGCGUUAAUCGGAAUUACUGGGCGUAAAGCGCACGCAGGCGGUCUGUCAAGUCGGAUGUGAAAUCCCCGGGCUCAACCUGGGAACUGCAUUCGAAACUGGCAGGCUAGAGUCUUGUGGAGGGGGGUAGAAUUCCAGGUGUAGCGGUGAAAUGCGUAGAGAUCUGGAGGAAUACCGGUGGCGAAGGCGGCCCCCUGGACAAAGACUGACGCUCAGGUGCGAAAGCGUGGGGAGCAAACAGGAUUAGAUACCCCAGUAGUC